CCUACGGGAGGCAGCAGUAGGGAAUCUUCCACAAUGGGCGAAAGCCUGAUGGAGCAACGCCGCGUGGGUGAAGAAGGUCUUCGGAUCGUAAAACUCUGUUGUUAGAGAAGAAAGUGCGUGAGAGUAACUGUUCACGUUUCGACGGUAUCUAACCAGAACGCCACGGCUAACUACGUGCCAGCAGCCGCGGUAAUACGUAGGUGGCAAGCGUUAUCCGGAUUUAUUGGGCGUAAAGGGAACGCAGGCGGUCUUUUAAGCCUGAUGUGAAAGCCUUCGGCUUAACCGGAGUAGUGCAUUGGAAACUGGGAGACUUGAGUGCAGAAGAGGAGAGUGGAACUCCAUGUGUAGCGGUGAAAUGCGUAGAUAUAUGGAAGAACACCAGUGGCGAAAGCGGCUCUCUGGUCUGUAACUGACGCUGAGGUUCGAAAGCGUGGGUAGCAAACAGGAUUAGAUACCCGAGUAGUC
rnacentral:rRNA from 1 species